CCGGGUUGAUCCUNNGGANNCACUGCUAUCGGGAUGAGACUAAGCCAUGCGAGUUGCACGCUUCAAGCCACGAUGAGGCGUAGCACACGGCUCAGUAACACGUGGUUAACCUAACCUUGAGAUGGGUACAACCCGGGGAAACUGGGGCUAAUACCCAAUAGGUGAAAGCGCUGGAAUGGUCUUUCACCCAAAAGAUGUUAAGGGCAUGCUUCUUAACAUCGCUCAAGGAUGGGACCGCGUCCGAUCAGGUUGUUGGUGGGGUAACGGCCUACCAAGCCUAUAACCGGUACGGGCCCUGAGAGGGGAAGCCCGGAGAUGGGGACUGAGACAAGGCCCCAGGCCCUACGGGGCGCAGCAGGCGCGAAAACUCUGCAGUGCGCGGAAGCGUGACAGGGUUACCCCGAGUGCCGUCCGCUGAGGAUGGCUUUUACCCAGUUUAAGGAGCUGGGGGAAUAAGGGGAGGGCAAGUCUGGUGUCAGCCGCCGCGGUAAUACCAGCUCCCCGAGUGGUGAGGACGAUUAUUUGGCCUAAAGCGUCCGUAGCUGGCUCAGCAAGUCUUCAGUUAAAUCUGACGAUCCAAUCGCCGGACUGCUGGAGAUACUACUGGGCUAGGAGGCGGGAGAAGCCGACGGUAGUCUCGGGGUAGGGGUGAAAUCCUAUAAUCCCAGGAGGACCACCAGUGGCGAAGGCGGUCGGCUAGAACGCGCUCGACAGUGAGGGACGAAAGCUGGGGGAGCGAACCGGAUUAGAUACCCGGGUAGCCCCAGCUGUAAACGAUGCGGGCUAGGUGUUGGAACGGCUACGGGCCGUUUCAGUGCCGCAGGGAAGCCGUUAAGCCCGCCGCCUGGGGAGUACGGUCGCAAGGCUGAAACUUAAAGGAAUNGGCGGGGGA
rnacentral:rRNA from 1 species